rnacentral:rRNA from 1 species
UACGUAGGGGGCAAGCGUUGUCCGGAAUCAUUGGGCGUAAAGAGCGUGUAGGCGGCCAGAUAAGUCCGCUGUGAAAUCUCGAGGCUCAACUUCGAGCUGUCGGUGGAAACUGUCUGGCUAGAGUCCGGAAGAGGAGAAUGGAAUUCCUGGUGUAGCGGUGAAAUGCACAGAUAUCAGGAAGAACACCCGUGGCGAAGGCGGCUCUCUGGGACGGUACUGACGCUGAGACGCGAAAGCGUGGGAGCAACAGG